UCACGUAGGCUUUGCAAUAUCUCUUCUCUAUGUUGCUCAUACCGGGCAUUUUCCCUCUGCCUCUUCAGUGCUUGUUUAUCUUUUGUAUAGUAAGUGUGAAUUAGGUUCAAGAGAACUUGAGCAACACACGUUUAUAUGUAGGUGUGAAUUAUGUAUGAUAGUUAAUAUGAGCCAGAAAUGAGUACCAUAUGAACUGUUGCAUCUGUAGGCUUGAAGUGGCGGUCGUAACACAGUUAGUUGGGACGACUCAUUCGCAGAGUUGAUAUUAUUAACAUUUUCAUUUUCAUUGUUAGAGACGACAGUAUCUGGUGUUGUUAGUGAACAUGGACCAUGAAGUGGAGUCUGAUCACUCAUUACCACAUCAACAGGUCCUGAAAGGGAGUACGUACCCCACUACGCUGAGAUCCAGACAUAUUGUCUUAUCAAUGAACACUUACUGAACCGUGCCUGAACUUAGUUUGAUAUGCAAAUCAUGAUGUACUGUCGGGAAGUAGUCAGAUGUCUUGGAGAUCUGCUCGCCACUGGGGUGAUGACACCGGAUGUAAGGCAGCGCGCCGGGUCGAGGACGUCGCAGACACCGGGGAGAGGGCGGUGUGGCGACGACGGCGUAUUGAGGAGAGUUAGGGCUGCAAGGUGGGUUGAGGGCGUCGUGUCAUCGCGGAGACCAGGAGCAAGGGUCGUGUGGCGAGGGCGGCCGGGCGGGGCGGCGUGCCGACGCGAGGUUCGUGCCGUGGUGUUGGCGUUGAUCGCGGAGAUACUAUUUAUUCGCUUGAUGGAGGUGUCAUCGUUAGGAUGUGUAGGAGCCUGGACGUGUGAGUCUGCGGGCAGAACAUUUCAUUAGAACCGUUGAUCUGGUUGUAGUAUGUUUGAUGAAACGUGGACAGUUGGAUGAUAGUAAGUGGGUCUGAUCGGACGUCUGGGGUUAUCCUGUGUGCACUUUCUCGUGUGGAUGUAGGGGAAGUCACGUUUGAUCUUUUAAUAGUAGUAUAGAGUAUAGAAGAAACGGACAAAACAAGCGAACACGCAGGAGCAAACAGAGGAAAGUUCGUUUUUAGUUCGCUUUCAACCCAUUCCUGGCCAAACUUUGGGCCGCGUUUAUGGCCAAACGGAAGCACGGAUGGGCGGGGCGCUUGCCCUUCUCCUCCCCCAGGCCCGCCUGUCAUUGGCACAGACGCCUCUUUUCUCUUCUCCUGCCCUCCUGUCCCCUGCCAUCGCCGCCGCCACCCCCCGUUCCCAGCCGUGUCGCCUUCCACCAAUGCCAUCGAAACCACGAACACACCAUGGCAUAGCAGUCCCACGUCCGCGUUCCUAAAAACUUUUUUCCGGCAUUCGUGGUUCCUGGUUGCUGACGGAACAGAAGUUACGGCGCCGGCAUCGCCCGUGGACCGCAACAACUUCUGGCGGGUCAUGCGUUGCCGCAGGGCGCCCAUCACCACCACCGACCCCAAACCUUGCUUUGCUGCCUGUGAGGGGAGCACGAUGUGCACUUUCCGGCGCGUCUCCACGACGACCACAAGGGAUAGCGGGGAGGAGU